rnacentral:rRNA from 1 species
CCUACGGGUGGCUGCAGUGAGGAAUAUUGGUCAAUGGGCGUAAGCCUGAACCAGCCAAGUCGCGUGAGGGAUGAAGGUUCUAUGGAUCGUAAACCUCUUUUAUAAGGGAAUAAAGUGUGGGUCGUGUCCGGUUUUGUCUGUACCUUAUGAAUAAGGAUCGGCUAACUCCGUGCCAGCAGCCGCGGUAAUACGGAGGAUACGAGCGUUAUCCGGAUUUAUUGGGUGUAAAGGGAGCGUAGGCGGCCUCUUAAGUCAGCGGUGAAAGUCUGUGGCUCAACCAUGGAAUGGCAGUUGAAACUGGGGGUCUUGAGUGUGUUUGAGGAAGGCGGAAUGCGUGGUGUAGCGGUGAAAUGCUUAGAUAUCACGAAGAACACCGAUUGCGAAGGCAGCCUGCCAAGCCAUGACUGACGCUGAGGCACGAAAGCGUGGGGAUCAAACAGGAUUAGAUACCCGAGUAGUC